CCUACGGGAGGCAGCAGUGAGGAAUAUUGGUCAAUGGGCGAGAGCCUGAACCAGCCAAGUCGUGUGAAGGAUGACGGUCCUACGGGUUGUAAACUUCUUUUGUCAGGGAGCAAUUGCUUCCACGCGUGGGCUUAGCGAGAGUCCCUGAAGAAAAAGCAUCGGCUACCUCCGUGCCAGCAGCCGCGUUAUUCCGGAGGAUGCGAGAGUUAUCCGGAUUUUUUGGGUUUAAAGGUGGCGUAGAGGGGUUGUUAAGUCGGUUGUGAAAGUUUGCGGCUCAACCGUAAACUUGCAAUUGAUACUGGCAGUCUUGAGUACAGUUGAGGUAGGCGGAAUUCGUGGUGUAGCGGUGAAAUGCUUAGAUAUCGCGAAGAACUCCGAUUGCGAAGGCAGCUUACUAAACUGCCACUGACAUUGAGGCUCGAAAGUGUGGGUAUCAAACAGGAUUAGAUACCCUUGUAGUC
rnacentral:rRNA from 1 species